rnacentral:rRNA from 1 species
UACGUAGGGUGCUAGCGUUGUUCGGAAUCAUUGGGCGUAAAGCGCGUGUAGGUAGUUAGGUAAGUCGGGUGUGAAAUCCCUGGGCUCAACCGAGGAAGUGCAUCCGAAACUGCUUAGCUAGAGGACGGUAGAGGAAGGUGGAAUUCCUAGUGUAGAGGUGAAAUUCGUAGAUAUUAGGAGGAAUACCGGCGGCGAAGGCGGCCUUCUGGGCCGUUCCUGACACUGAGACGCGAAAGCGUGGGUAGCAAACAGG